GGGGGCCGAAACUUUUAAUGAAUAAAAAAUAGACAACGGUCUGUCUUUUUUUUUUUCAUUACACGAGACAAAGCGAGACUACGUAUCCUCUUGGUGAUAAAGCGCGAAUAAAAUUUUGCAGCGCACGAUUAUGCCAGUUCGUUCGCAGAUUUCUCAUUAAAUCCCACCUGGCUGGCAAGAGAAAAGAGAUUUUCGAAAUAUUCAGCGCGCGUCAGAUAAGAGCUUUAAUUUUCAUGAGUGAUAUUACCAUGAGACAAUUUUUCGAUAAUAAAGGAUAACGUUCGAGCUAAUUCGCAAAAAUGUUUCGUAUUUCAUUGUCCUCUCCAAUCGAACGAUCACCGUUGUUUAUCUUCAAUCGAAAUAAUCGCAGUAAUAAACGCAAUCGUUCCACGUUUACGUGUUCUUGGCGACGAAAUUACAAUCAGGACAUUUUCUGCUGUGAAAAACUUCAGCUACG
rnacentral:misc_RNA from 1 species